AAGUGCGAAUGCUGACAUGAGUAGCGUUAAAGCGGGUGAAAAGCCCGCUCGCCGAAAGCCCAAGGUUUCCUGCUCUACGUUCAUCGGAGCAGGGUGAGUCGGCCCCUAAGGCGAGGCUGAAAAGCGUAGUCGAUGGGAACAAGGUUAAUAUUCCUUGACCACCGUUAAGUGCGAUGGGGGGACGGAGUGUUGAAGAUCAUCCGGGUGUUGGACGUCCCGGUUCCUGAGUGUAGGAGGCCAGUAGGUAAAUCCGCUGGCGUAUCUCCGAGGCAAAGGGUCGAGCGACUUCGGUCGCGAAGUGAUUGGAUGUGCUUCCAGGAAAAGCCUCUAAGCUCCAGCUUAACGGGACCGUACCGCAAACCGACACUGGUGGGCGAGCUGAAUAUGCUCAGGCGCUUGAGAGAACUCGGGAGAAGGAACUCGGCAAAUUGACACCGUAACUUCGGAAGAAGGUGUGCCCUGGUAGCGUGAUGGGAGAGACGCCCAAAGCGUGAAAGGGUCUCAGAGAAUCGGUGGCUGCGACUGUUUAUUAAAAACACAGCACUCUGCUAAGACGAAAGUCGACGUAUAGGGUGUGAUGCCUGCCCGGUGCCGGAAGGUUAAGUGAUGGGGUGCAAGCUCUUGAUCGAAGCCCCGGUAAACGGCGGCCGUAACUAUAACGGUCCUAAGGUAGCGAAAUUCCUUGUCGGGUAAGUUCCGACCUGCACGAAUGGCAUAACGAUGGCCACACUGUCUCCUCCCGAGACUCAGCGAAGUUGAAAUGUUUGUGAUGAUGCAAUCUACCCGCGGCUAGACGGAAAGACCCCAUGAACCUUUACUGUAGCUUUGCAUUGGACUGUGAACCGAUCUGUGUAGGAUAGGUGGGAGGCUUUGAAGCGCGGACGCUAGUCUGCGUGGAGCCGUCCUUGAAAUACCACCCUGGUUUGUUUGCGGUUCUAACCUAGGCCCGUUAUCCGGGUCGGGAACAGUGCAUGGUAGGCAGUUUGACUGGGGCGGUCUCCUCCUAAAGGGUAACGGAGGAGUACGAAGGUACGCUAGGUACGGUCGGAAAUCGUGCUGAUAGUGCAAUGGCAUAAGCGUGCUUGACUGUGAGACUGACAAGUCGAACAGGUGCGAAAGCAGGUCAUAGUGAUCCGGUGGUUCUGUAUGGAAGGGCCAUCGCUCAACGGAUAAAAGGUACUCUGGGGAUAACAGGCUGAUACCGCCCAAGAGUUCAUAUCGACGGCGGUGUUUGGCACCUCGAUGUCGGCUCAUCUCAUCCUGGGGCUGUAGUCGGUCCCAAGGGUAUGGCUGUUCGCCAUUUAAAGAGGUACGUGAGCUGGGUUUAAAACGUCGUGAGACAGUUUGGUCCCUAUCUGCCGUGGGCGCUGGAUAUUUGAGGGGGCCUGCUCCUAGUACGAGAGGACCGGAGUGGACGCACCUCUGGUGUACCGGUUGUCACGCCAGUGGCAUCGCCGGGUAGCUAUGUGCGGAAGAGAUAACCGCUGAAAGCAUCUAAGCGGGAAACUUGCCUGAAGAUGAGAUUUCCCGGAGGCUUGACCUCCUUGAAGGGUCGUUCGAGACCAGGACGUUGAUAGGCUGGGUGUGGAAGCGCUGUAAGGCGUUAAGCUAACCAGUACUAAUUGCCCGUACGGCUUGAUC
rnacentral:rRNA from 1 species